GAUGAACGCUGGCGGCGUGCCUAAUACAUGCAAGUCGAGCGAACGGACGAGAAGCUUGCUUCUCUGAUGUUAGCGGCGGACGGGUGAGUAACACGUGGAUAACCUACCUAUAAGACUGGGAUAACUUCGGGAAACCGGAGCUAAUACCGGAUAAUAUUUUGAACCGCAUGGUUCAAAAGUGAAAGACGGUCUUGCUGUCACUUAUAGAUGGAUCCGCGCUGCAUUAGCUAGUUGGUAAGGUAACGGCUUACCAAGGCAACGAUGCAUAGCCGACCUGAGAGGGUGAUCGGCCACACUGGAACUGAGACACGGUCCAGACUCCUACGGGAGGCAGCAGUAGGGAAUCUUCCGCAAUGGGCGAAAGCCUGACGGAGCAACGCCGCGUGAGUGAUGAAGGUCUUCGGAUCGUAAAACUCUGUUAUUAGGGAAGAACAUAUGUGUAAGUAACUGUGCACAUCUUGACGGUACCUAAUCAGAAAGCCACGGCUAACUACGUGCCAGCAGCCGCGGUAAUACGUAGGUGGCAAGCGUUAUCCGGAAUUAUUGGGCGUAAAGCGCGCGUAGGCGGUUUUUUAAGUCUGAUGUGAAAGCCCACGGCUCAACCGUGGAGGGUCAUUGGAAACUGGAAAACUUGAGUGCAGAAGAGGAAAGUGGAAUUCCAUGUGUAGCGGUGAAAUGCGCAGAGAUAUGGAGGAACACCAGUGGCGAAGGCGACUUUCUGGUCUGUAACUGACGCUGAUGUGCGAAAGCGUGGGGAUCAAACAGGAUUAGAUACCCUGGUAGUCCACGCCGUAAACGAUGAGUGCUAAGUGUUAGGGGGUUUCCGCCCCUUAGUGCUGCAGCUAACGCAUUAAGCACUCCGCCUGGGGAGUACGACCGCAAGGUUGAAACUCAAAGGAAUUGACGGGGACCCGCACAAGCGGUGGAGCAUGUGGUUUAAUUCGAAGCAACGCGAAGAACCUUACCAAAUCUUGACAUCCUUUGACAACUCUAGAGAUAGAGCCUUCCCCUUCGGGGGACAAAGUGACAGGUGGUGCAUGGUUGUCGUCAGCUCGUGUCGUGAGAUGUUGGGUUAAGUCCCGCAACGAGCGCAACCCUUAAGCUUAGUUGCCAUCAUUAAGUUGGGCACUCUAAGUUGACUGCCGGUGGCAAACCGGAGGAAGGUGGGGAUGACGUCAAAUCAUCAUGCCCCUUAUGAUUUGGGCUACACACGUGCUACAAUGGACAAUACAAAGGGCAGCGAAACCGCGAGGUCAAGCAAAUCCCAUAAAGUUGUUCUCAGUUCGGAUUGUAGUCUGCAACUCGACUACAUGAAGCUGGAAUCGCUAGUAAUCGUAGAUCAGCAUGCUACGGUGAAUACGUUCCCGGGUCU
rnacentral:rRNA from 1 species